rnacentral:misc_RNA from 1 species
AACUUCUUUGAAAUCAGAAUCUUCCUUGAUCUCUGCUGUACCUGGUCAGCAAACAACUUCAUCAUGCCCUCCAGUUGACAUAGAAUGGCCUCCUCGGGCAUCUUCAGGUGUAACCCCUCAAUUACGUGAUGCUGAUAAGCAAUUGAACACGGGAGCAUCAUCUUCAAGUUUUGAUGAUCUAGAUCCUUUUGCUAAUUGGCCUCCGAGA